GGCACGUUAUAGCCGGAUUAUGCGUCAACGAUUUGCGCGAGAUUAGGCAACGUUUAUAAUUAUCGAUUAAACAAUCCGUUUCGUACGAACCUGUCGUUGUGACAUCGUAUACGGAAAAAAAAUUAAUCGUGAGACUUCCUAUAUAGAUAGCGAUAUGAAUAUUCAAUUCAAGCAAUAAUCGCAACAAAUUGUAUAGUUUCUCUGUAUGUACGAUGGCGGAGAAGAGAUAACAAGGGAUAAGCAGUACGAGGAACAACAUAACUUGAUCAUUAAGUAAAUAUAAUACAAGUACCGCGAAAGUUUGGGGUUUGAUGAAUCUACAACGUAAGAAGUGUCCACUACAAAAGUUAGCGUAUAAAAUAUCUAUAUGUUGGAACCUUUCGCAAAAUUUACAAUAGGAUUACGUUCAACGAAAGCCGGAAUCUGCUGAGAAAUACUUUUCGAUGAAAAUUACGCUUAAAGAAGAAGCAAGC